rnacentral:lncRNA from 1 species
GUUGAAAAUUGAGCAAGUUAUGGUUAUUAUAACGUGCAUGCACCGCUACUACUCAAUGUUAUGAGUCAGAGAGCUGACUGUGGCAAGAUGGCCGCCAGUGCGGACAAGAUUGUCCUUUCGCGGGCCUAAGCCCGUCGGAUUUUCUCAACGCAUGCGCGUGGUCGACGUCACUUCCUCCUCUCUCCUUUUCCUAUCCACUUUUCCUUAAACCCCGGAAGCGUGGCGGCCAUGAUAAGAAGCGUCCGAAUUCUCUAAAAGCUAAGGAAAGUAGGAUUAAAGCUUCCUACAUAACCUCCUUUAUCUUAGGAAACACCGAUUUAUCCUUUAGUAAAGACAACAUUUAAAAAAAGGACCCGCUCGUCCGAACAUUCACCGAAACCCACGAUGACUGAAAAGGGACGUAGAGCAUUCACAGACGCUGAAACCCUUGCGUUGAUUAAGGCCAGGGUUAAACUGAACACACUCUUCGGGAGGAAGAGGAAUUCGGCAAAGCUUGGCUGGGAGCAGGUGGUGAAGGAGAUGGGGCUGGAGGGCCAGGUCACUGCCAUGCAGGCUUCAAAAAAAUGGGACAAUUUAAAAACUAAAUACAAGGAGCUGAGGAACCCCCUCAGCAGAUCGUACACAGACAACGUUGAGGCCACUGCAGCCAACUGGCCCUGGUUUGAUGUCAUGCAUGAGGUUCUGGGGGAUGGGCCUAUCAUUCAGCUUCCCACCUUGGUUUCCUCAUGCCCGAUGCCAAAGGUAGAGCAGAUUGAGCCUUCAUCAUCCUCCCUCCAGCCUGCCACUGAUGAUGAGGAGUCUCAGCCCCCCACCAAAAGGAAGCGGGUGGGGCCCCUGUUGACGUUCUUGAGGGAGCAGGCCAAAAAAGAUGAUGCGUUCAAUGCUGCUCUCCUGGAGCAGAAUGAGCGCUUCUUGAGUCUGCUGGGACCUUCAAAGAUGACGUCACAACGUAAAAAAGAUGGGAACCAACAACUGCAAAGCAGGAAAAGAAG